AGUGAACGCUGGCGGUAGGCCUAACACAUGCAAGUCGAGCGGAAGAACAGUACGAGCUUCCGCUUACGGGGGGCGAGGGGCGGGCGAGGGAGAGGUACAUGGGAGUCUACUUUGGCGAAGGGGAUGACGUGGGGGAAAAUACGGUAUUCCCGCAGACGACCAACGGGGGGGAUCAUCGGAUCUUAGGACAUUACAUGAGUCGAUGUCGGAUUAGCUAGUUGGCGGGGUAAAGGCCCACCAAGGCGACGAUCCGUAGCUGGUCUGAGAGGAUGAUCAGACACACUGGAACUGAGACACGGUCCAGACUCCUACGGGAGGCAGCAGUGGGGAAUAUUGGACAAUGGGCACAAGCCUGAUCCAGCCAUACCGCGUGGGUGAAGAAGGCCUUCGGGUUGUAAAGCCCUUUUGGUGGGAAAGAAAAGCAGUAGGUUAAUACCCCGCUGUUUUGACGGUACCCAAAGAAUAAGCACCGGCUAACUUCGUG
rnacentral:rRNA from 1 species